AUUGAACGCUGGCGGAAUGCUUUACACAUGCAAGUCGAACGGCAGCACGGGGGCAACCCUGGUGGCGAGUGGCGAACGGGUGAGUAAUACAUCGGAACGUGCCCAGUCGUGGGGGAUAACGUAGCGAAAGCUACGCUAAUACCGCAUACGAACUCAGGUUGAAAGCGGGGGAUCGCAAGACCUCGCGCGAUUGGAGCGGCCGAUGGCAGAUUAGGUAGUUGGUGGGGUAAAGGCCUACCAAGCCGACGAUCUGUAGCUGGUCUGAGAGGACGACCAGCCACACUGGGACUGAGACACGGCCCAGACUCCUACGGGAGGCAGCAGUGGGGAAUUUUGGACAAUGGGCGCAAGCCUGAUCCAGCCAUUCCGCGUGCAGGAUGAAGGCCCUCGGGUUGUAAACUGCUUUUGUACGGAACGAAACGGUCCUGGUUAAUACCCGGGGCUAAUGACGGUACCGUAAGAAUAAGCACCGGCUAACUACGUGCCAGCCGCCGCCGUAACAC
rnacentral:rRNA from 1 species